rnacentral:tRNA from 1 species
GGAAACAUAGCUCAGUAGGUAGUAGCGCAUGACUUUUAAUCAUGAUGUCGUAGGUUCGAGUCCUGCUGUUUCCG